rnacentral:rRNA from 1 species
GACGAACGCUGGCGGCGUGCUUAACACAUGCAAGUCGAACGGUGAAGCGCCUUCCUUUUUGGUGGGUGUGGAUGAGUGGCGGACUGGUUAGUAACACGUUAGUAACCUUCUCCCUUUUUCUGGAUAACCGCAUGAAGGUGUGGCUACUACGGGAUAUUUUGGGUCUGUCGCUUCAUGGGUCUGGGACAGUUUUUGUUUCGGUGGGGGAUGGACUCGCGGCCUAUCAGCUUGUUGGUGGGGUGAUGGCCUACCAAGGCGGUGAAGAGUAGCCGGCCUGAGAGGGUGGACGGCAACAGAGGGAAGGAGAGGCCGAGCAGACUACGGGAGGAGGCAGUAGGGGGGAUUACGGAAUAGGGGGCGGAAGGACGGAGCAGCGACGCGUGGGGAGGGAAGGUGGCCGGAGGGUAGAGAACCUCUUUUGGGAGAGAAGAAGGGCGGCAGUAAUUGUGGGUGGGUUGACGGUAGCUGGACAAGAAGCGACGGCUAACUACGUG